rnacentral:rRNA from 6 species
CAAAUGAAUUGACGGGGGCCCGCACAAGCGGUGGAGCAUGUGGUUUAAUUCGAUGCAACGCGAAGAACCUUACCUGGUCUUGACAUCCACAGAACUUUCCAGAGAUGGAUUGGUGCCUUCGGGAACUGUGAGACAGGUGCUGCAUGGCUGUCGUCAGCUCGUGUUGUGAAAUGUUGGGUUAAGUCCCGCAACGAGCGCAACCCUUAUCCUUUGUUGCCAGCGGUCCGGCCGGGAACUCAAAGGAGACUGCCAGUGAUAAACUGGAGGAAGGUGGGGAUGACGUCAAGUCAUCAUGGCCCUUACGACCAGGGCUACACACGUGCUACAAUGGCGCAUACAA